rnacentral:misc_RNA from 1 species
CGCACAUUGCGCCCCUUGGUAUUCCGGGGGGCAUGCCUGUUCGAGCGUCAUUACACCACUCAAGCCUGGCUUGGUAUUGGGCGCCGCGCCCGUCGCGCGCCCUAAUGUCGCCGGCCGAGUCGUCUGUCUCCGAGCGUUGUGAAUCUCAUUCGCUCCUGGGGAUCCAGACGGCGCGCGCCGUUAAACCUCUUUUUACAGGUUGACCUCGGAUCAGGUAGGGAUACCCGCUGAACUUAA